ACACAUGCAGUCGAGCGGUAGCACAGGAGAGCUUGCUCUCUGGGUGACGAGCGGCGGACGGGUGAGUAAUGUCUGGGAAACUGCCUGAUGGAGGGGGAUAACUACUGGAAACGGUAGCUAAUACCGCAUAACGUCUUCGGACCAAAGUGGGGGACCUUCGGGCCUCACGCCAUCAGAUGUGCCCAGAUGGGAUUAGCUAGUAGGUGGGGUAAUGGCUCACCUAGGCGACGAUCCCUAGCUGGUCUGAGAGGAUGACCAGCCACACUGGAACUGAGACACGGUCCAGACUCCUACGGGAGGCAGCAGUGGGGAAUAUUGCACAAUGGGCGCAAGCCUGAUGCAGCCAUGCCGCGUGUGUGAAGAAGGCCUUCGGGUUGUAAAGCACUUUCAGCGAGGAGGAAGGGUUCAGUGUUAAUAGCACUGUUCAUUGACGUUACUCGCAGAAGAAGCACCGGCUAACUCCGUGCCAGCAGCCGCGGUAAUACGGAGGGUGCAAGCGUUAAUCGGAAUUACUGGGCGUAAAGCGCACGCAGGCGGUUUGUUAAGUCAGAUGUGAAAUCCCCGCGCUUAACGUGGGAACUGCAUUUGAAACUGGCAAGCUAGAGUCUUGUAGAGGGGGGUAGAAUUCCAGGUGUAGCGGUGAAAUGCGUAGAGAUCUGGAGGAAUACCGGUGGCGAAGGCGGCCCCCUGGACAAAGACUGACGCUCAGGUG
rnacentral:rRNA from 1 species